GACGUAGGGCGCGAGCGUUGUCCGGAUUUAUUGGGCGUAAAGAGCUCGUAGGCGGCUUGUCGCGUCGAAUGUGAAAUCUCAGGGCUCAACUCUGACAUUGCAUUCGAUACGGGCAGGCUAGAGUUCGGUAGGGGAGACUGAAUUCCUGGUGUAGCGGUGAAAUGCGCAGAUAUCAGGAGGAACACCGGUGGCGAAGGCGGG
rnacentral:rRNA from 1 species